UUGCUGGUGGAGGGUCUUGCCUUGAUGUUGAUGGCUGCUGACUGAUCGGGUAGUUGCUGAAGGUUGGGGUGGUUGUGGCAAUUUCUUGAAAUAAGCCAACAAUGACUUCACGCAUUGAUUGACCCUUCCUUUCAUGAAUGAUAUCUCUGUAGCUUCAACGCUGUUUGAUAGCAUUACCCAUAGUAGAAUUUCUUUCAAAAUUGGAGUCAGCCCCCUCAAAACCUGCUGCUGCUUUAUCAACUAAGUUUGUAGCAUUCUGAAUGCUUUGUUGUCAUUUGAACAAUCUUCACCAGGUGUAGAUUCCAUCUCAAGAAACCGCUUUCUUUGCUCAUCCGUAAGAAGCAGCUCCUGAUCUGCUAAGUUUUACCCUGAGAUCGCAGCACACCUUCAGGUUCCACUUCUAAUUCUAGUUCUCUUGCUAUUUCUACCACCUUUGCAGUUACUUCCUCCACUGAAGUCUUGAGUCCCUCAAAGUCACCUAUGAAGGUUGGAAUUAACUUCUUCCAAGCUCUUGUUAAUGUUAAUAUUUUGACCUCUCCCCGUGAAUCACAGAUGCUCUUAACGGCAUCUAGAAUGGUAAAUCCUUCCCAGGAGGUUUUCAAUGGACUUUGUCCAGAUCCAUCAGAGGAAUCACUAUCAGUGGCAGCUAUAGGCCUACAAAAUGCAUUUCUUAGAAGAGAGAGUCAAGCACAGAAGUUUCAUUCAGAGGCAUUGGCUAGUCUUCACAGGAGAUGCUUACUUUGGUACAGCCAGUGCAUGGUAACUCCCCUCUGUCUAGCAACUUUAUACUCAAAAUGUUCUAUUAUAAGGUUAAGUUGAAGAACAUUCUGUUCCACUAAGAUAUCUUAAAGAAGUUUACAAUUCAAGGUAGCAAUAAUCCUAAACCUAGCAACCUGAGGCAGAGGACACUUUCCCUCUUGCUAGGUCAUAAAGUAAGUCACUAUAGCAACUCUACAUCUGAAUUGAAGCUACAUGGUAAGUGUCCAGUGCCAUUAUCUGAAAUGACCUGAAAGUCACAAGGUCAGUGUCAGAUAUGGAAACCAGGGCAUUAAAGCACACCUUUUGUCUACAUUGACAUGCGACCGAUGUUACCAACCAAGGAGAGCAUCUCCCUAGCAAACUGAGUUCAAUGAAGAUAUCACCGAGAGCAGCAGAAAAUAGAAUCACGUGGUACUGACUAGCAGGAUGAGCUGGGAGAUUAUAUUCAAGAGAGGACAAGAGAAAACAAAGAAACAAGAAACCAAGAAAUGAGAUCAUAUCAGAUAUUGAAAGGUGCCAAGAAAGAAAAUAACAUCAGAUAAGGAGAUUCAGAAGACUGGGAGAAAACUUUUGGGACACACUUCGAUGUUACCUUCUGCUCUCCUUGUGGCAAGUUGUCAGGGUGAGGUUAUAAUUGAUGCUGUCUCUCAAGCUGGCUGUGACUUAUUGUCCACUGCAGAGUUGAGCUCACAGCAUUUGGCCAUUUGUUAUAAAUUCAUACAAAGUUUCACAAGAUAUUUCCCAACCAAGUUGCACAUUAAAACAUACUCUUGCCUCAUCUCCACACUUAAACAUGAAGUCAGAAUUUCCUGGAAGUGAGGACUGGGCAUCAGUGUUUUGGGAAAGUUCUCCAGGUCAUUUCAAUGUGCAGCUGUAUCAAUCACAGUGUUAAUACCUCGUUGGCACUCAGAGAAAACUGGAGUGUUUGAGAGGCUUUUGUACAUAAGAAGAAAACUAGCCAAUUCACUACCAAACUGCAAAAGCACCAACAUCACAACUGUUACUCCUCUUGCAAUGGCAGUGUCAAUGUCCUUUAAAUCACAGACGAUGUUUUAGAGCCAGGUAUUAUCAACAAUGGUACAAUUUAAAUAAAGCCCAUUUGUUGGAACACUCAAAGAUGUUGUCAAUCUGACCAUUUACCUGUGUCUGAUUUAUUUAGUGGAAAAAAAAAAAGCAUCAAGUGUUCUAGUGAACUGUAAUCUUCUUAUGCCAUUUCCUGAAAGGAAUAAAAGGCAACAAAAAACAAUUACACUGAAACAAUGCUCUGACCUCAAUAAUCACACACUGAAAAUACUUUUAUCUGGGAAAAGCCAUUAGAAGAAACCAUGAACAAGGUGAAACAGCUUUUGUGUGUUUUAGAUAAUAGUAACUCAGCAGGACCACAAAAGUAAAGCCCUAUUAAAUCUACUUCACAUUCUACAAUUCUUGCUUCUUUACAGAGUAACUCUUUACUCCUGGUUUCAAAACUUUCUGUUCUCAACCCAGAAUGCAAUAAUAUAGCCAUCUAUACAGACUUUAUGAGCAUUUCAUUUUUCACUAGGAUACUCUAUGAGUCCAUUACAAAUAUACCAAGGUGUAUUUUACCGAUAGAAAUAAUAACUAAUUUUGUUUCUGAUUAUUUCUAACAUGCCAGGGAUUGACUAGGCAUUUGAAGGAGGCCAAGAGCAAAGUUGUCUUGGCUUGAGCCCACCACCCCUGGGCCUCAUGCUGCCCUUUUUCCACCCCCAUUAGUUACAGCCUCUUCGCUUCUUAUCUCAUAAGAACACAAAACUCAUCGAGUCCUGUCUUUUCUGGAAAACCGUGGCUCUGAAAGCCUCUCUUUCUCUGUAUUUCCUUCCUCCUCCCCUCAUAAAGCUUUCCUUUAGCUAGCUAACAUCGGGAAAGAAUAGAAUCCUUUAAAAUAAAUUAAAAUUCUUCAAAAAAGUCACAAAAUAAUAUUAAAAAUAAUUGAGGAAAUGAAGAGGAAAAUUUCAUAUAAUUCACCAGCCUAAUAAAGCACGAAUCAUCAUAUUUUUUUGUUUGUGUCUCUGUGUCAUAUUCAUGAAUAGUUUUAUGUAUCUUUUCAAUUGAGUCCCCUUUCCCUGCAAUCUUUCUCCCUCUCCCCAUAACCUUUGGUUAUACAGCUGGUUAAUGGUGAAAAUAAAACUCUAAUAAUUUCAGAUUGACUCCUAAUCUGCCAUUUUCCCCCCUUGCAUUUUCAGUUUCUAGUUAUGUCUUUGAAGUUACAACAGAAAUUGAGAGCUUGUUUAGAGGUUCUACCUGAGAGCUUUCAGCUAAUCAUUUCACUAAACUGAAGAAUGACCUAUUCUAUCAGGCAAUUUCAUCCUAAUUUCCCAAAUCUGCAGCUGAAAGAGGGGCACAUAUGGAGCAUGGAAAGAGGCCUAUUGCACUGUCUCUGCUGUGCAGUAAGGUCAAGAAACUCUGCUGAGCAAUGGAGUAACAGAUUUCGUAGGCCACCCAUUGCCUGGGAGGCACACUGGAUGUGAAAGUGUAGUCACUCUACACCAAUGACUCCACCAGAAAAACAUCCCUCUGAACAGCUCCAAUGCUCAAGGUACAUCCAGGAACAGAGGGUCCAGGGAAUAGCAUAGAAUAAUUCAAUAUGGGCAACUAGAUACAGAUGUACUGAAAAGCUGAACACUGAGGAAGGUUGGGCAACCCAAAGACAAGUAAGUAUACAAAGUAUUCUCAGCUCUAGAGCUAGAAAGACAAAGAAAGAAUAUUGCUACUAGAAACUAAGUGCUAGGAGCACCGUGCAAGAGCUUGAAAGACGGAGAGGGUUCACCCAACAGCUACUAGAAUCGUGAAAGAGAAAGCAGAUACUGCCUUAAUCAACCCAAAACAGAGGGAGACAAUGAGAUAUAGGCAUGCUUCUCCCAUUCUCUUUCCCUCAAUCUCCUGCCUGUGUCUACAUUAGGUGAAAAUAUUGGGCGAGGACACAGACAAAGAAAUAGGUUUGAAAGCAAAUGGGCAAGUGAUUGACCCAACCUCCAAUCCACUCACAACUUGGUUCCAAAGAUAAAGUAUUUAAAGGAAAUCAAAUACUUAUUAUCUUUAUUCAGUAAUAUCCAAAUGUAUAUAUUUCUUUCUGGUUCUAAUAAUUAUUAUCAUCACGGUCAUUCUAACUCUACCACUAGUCUUUUCAGCAAAGUGCAGUGGGCAAAUGAAUUCACUUUGAUGAAACACGGCAUCAAUUUAAUGCCAGUGGGGCCAUCAGAAAGAUUCCAGUCACAUGGCUAUGUCUCUUGACACUUUAAAACCUACCAAAGAAGACACUUAUGUUAAGUCUACCAUAGGCGUUCUCUAGAUAAUUCAAAUUUUCACCACCCUUUAUCUUAUAUUAAAUGUAAUACAAAUAAAAUUUAAUUAUUACAUUAUUAUAUGCAGCAGUAUUCUCCAAUUUUUCCAUGGAAAUAAAAUUUUAGUGUGUACUAUCAUGUUCAUUAAUUCUUCGUGAAAAUUUUCUUCCCAACUUAGUAAUAAGCUUUCUUUCUUUCUUUAUUUUUUUGGUGAGGAAGAUUGGCCCUGAGCUAACAUCCAUUGCCAUUCUUCCUCUUUUUGC